CUCUAUACUGGACCUCCUUACGUUAGGCGAGGGCUUGCAUUGGAGUAAGAGAGGAAAACUUUAAAACGUAAGUAGCUCUUAUGAAAUAAACAGUGUUUUCCUCCAUUCUUAUCUUUGUAACAAAAAAGAAUGCACUUAGUCCUUAUGAACACAUUUCAGUUGAGCAGUUCGGGUUUUUUAUAGUAUUUUAUUGGUUAUGUUCAAAGUUUAGAUUAUUAAACUGAAUACAAAUAUUCAGUUUGUUGGGUGUAUCACGUAUAAUGUUUCUUAAUCCGUCACAUUUGAAAAAAAUCAAUGUUGGUAAAUGGUAAAGAACAAUGGUAUAUUGUUAAUAUCUCGCAAAUGUUCGGUUUGCAGUCAAGCUACUCUCGAAUUAAUUUUGUUUCACGAUUUCGUUAUAUAUUAUGAUGCGCUCUUCGCUACAGUAGAGAGCGAGCUACAGUAGUAGACUCCUCGUGUCGUCACAGACAUGUCGAAGGGGGCGUUCCAUAACCGCGGGAAAUCCGAAUCCCUCCGUGUUGCGUUCUUAGACAAAAACAAAACACCGAACUUUAAACAACAAAUACGACUGGUAUUCACUAUGGAAAUCAGCAAAACAGAUACAAUAAUCGGAUUUUUAUGUCGGCUUCUAAGAACAGCCUGGAGAUUCCUGUGCUGCUGUGGAGAUGAUACCUCUGACGUUCAGUUCUCAGUUGAGGAAACGGAGCCACCUCUUGGUGUCAGCACUGUGAGACCAUGGAAUUAUGGUAAAGGUGGAGGCAUUAUCAGGACGGUUUAG
ensembl:lncRNA